CACGUAGGGCGCGAGCGUUUGUCCGGAAUUAUUGGGCGUAAAGAGCUCGUAGGCGGCCUGUUGCGUCCGCUGUGAAAGCCCCGGGGCUUAACCCCGGGUCGGCAGUGGAUACGGGCAGGCUAGAGGUAGGUAGGGGAGAAUGGAAUUCCCGGUGUAGCGGUGAAAUGCGCAGAUAUCGGGAGGAACACCGGUGGCGAAGGCGGUUCUCUGGGCCUUACCUGACGCUGAGGAGCGAAAGCGUGGGGAGCGAACAGG
rnacentral:rRNA from 1 species